GGCCUCCCUCUGGGGGGCGAUCGAUUGUGGGGUUCCAAGAUCGAUCGCCCAGCAGAGGGAGGCC
rnacentral:pre_miRNA from 1 species